GAUGAACGCUGGCGGCGUGCCUAAUACAUGCAAGUCGAGCGAACAGACGAGGAGCUUGCUCCUCUGACGUUAGCGGCGGACGGGUGAGUAACACGUGGAUAACCUACCUAUAAGACUGGGAUAACUUCGGGAAACCAGAGCUAAUACCGGAUAAUAUGUUGAACCGCAUGGUUCAAUAGUGAAAGACGGUUUUGCUGUCACUUAUAGAUGGAUCCGCGCCGCAUUAGCUAGUUGGUAAGGUAACGGCUUACCAAGGCAACGAUGCGUAGCCGACCUGAGAGGGUGAUCGGCCACACUGGAACUGAGACACGGUCCAGACUCCUACGGGAGGCAGCAGUAGGGAAUCUUCCGCAAAGGGCGAAAGCUUGACGGAGCAACGCCGCGUGAGUGAUGAAGGUCUUCGGAUCGUAAAACUCUGUUAUUAGGGAAGAACAAAUGUGUAAGUAACUAUGCACGUCUUGACGGUACCUAAUCAGAAAGCCACGGCUAACUACGUG
rnacentral:rRNA from 1 species